AUUGAACGCUGGCGGCAGGCCUAACACAUGCAAGUCGAACGGUAACAGGAAGCAGCUUGCUGCUUCGCUGACGAGUGGCGGACGGGUGAGUAAUGUCUGGGAAGCUGCCUGAUGGAGGGGGAUAACUACUGGAAACGGUAGCUAAUACCGCAUAAUGUCGCAAGACCAAAGAGGGGGACCUUCGGGCCUCUUGCCAUCGGAUGUGCCCAGAUGGGAUUAGCUUGUUGGUGGGGUAACGGCUCACCAAGGCGACGAUCCCUAGCUGGUCUGAGAGGAUGACCAGCCACACUGGAACUGAGACACGGUCCAGACUCCUACGGGAGGCAGCAGUGGGGAAUAUUGCACAAUGGGCGCAAGCCUGAUGCAGCCAUGCCGCGUGUAUGAAGAAGGCCUUCGGGUUGUAAAGUACUUUCAGCGGGGAGGAAAGGAGUAAAGUUAAUACCUUUGCUCAUUGACGUUACCCGCAGAAGAAGCACCGGCUAACUCCGUG
rnacentral:rRNA from 1 species